GAUGAACGCUAGCUACAGGCUUAACACAUGCAAGUCGAGGGGCAGCAUGAACUUAGCUUGCUAAGUUUGAUGGCGACCGGCGCACGGGUGAGUAACACGUAUCCAACCUGCCGAUGACUCGGGGAUAGCCUUUCGAAAGAAAGAUUAAUACCCGAUGGCAUAGUUCUUCCGCAUGGUAGAACUAUUAAAGAAUUUCGGUCAUCGAUGGGGAUGCGUUCCAUUAGGUUGUUGGCGGGGUAACGGCCCACCAAGCCUUCGAUGGAUAGGGGUUCUGAGAGGAAGGUACCCCACAUUGGAACUGAGACACGGUCCAAACUCCUACGGGAGGCAGCAGUGAGGAAUAUUGGUCAAGGGACGAGAGUCUGACCCAGCCAAGUAGCGUGAAGGAGGACUGCCCUAUGGGUUGUAAACUUCUUUUAUACGGGAAUAAAGUGAGGCACGUGUGCCUUUUUGUAUGUACCGAAUGAAUAAGGAUCGGCUAACUCCGUG
rnacentral:rRNA from 1 species